GGGUUGUGAGGUUAAGCGACUAAGCGUACACGGUGGAUGCCCUGGCAGUCAGAGGCGAUGAAGGACGUGCUAAUCUGCGAUAAGCGUCGGUGAGGUGAUAUGAACCGUUAUAACCGGCGAUUUCCGAAUGGGGAAACCCAGUGUGUUUCGACACACUAUCAUUAACUGAAUCCAUAGGUUAAUGAGGCGAACCGGGGGAACUGAAACAUCUAAGUACCCCGAGGAAAAGAAAUCAACCGAGAUUCCCCCAGUAGCGGCGAGCGAACGGGGAGGAGCCCAGAGCCUGAAUCAGUGUGUGUGUUAGUGGAAGCGUCUGGAAAGGCGCGCGAUACAGGGUGACAGCCCCGUACACAAAAAUGCACAUAUUGUGAGCUCGAUGAGUAGGGCGGGACACGUGGUAUCCUGUCUGAAUAUGGGGGGACCAUCCUCCAAGGCUAAAUACUCCUGACUGACCGAUAGUGAACCAGUACCGUGAGGGAAAGGCGAAAAGAACCCCGGCGAGGGGAGUGAAAAAGAACCUGAAACCGUGUACGUACAAGCAGUGGGAGCCUCUUUAUGGGGUGACUGCGUACCUUUUGUAUAAUGGGUCAGCGACUUAUAUUCUGUAGCAAGGUUAACCGAAUAGGGGAGCCGAAGGGAAACCGAGUCUUAACUGGGCGUUAAGUUGCAGGGUAUAGACCCGAAACCCGGUGAUCUAGCCAUGGGCAGGUUGAAGGUUGGGUAACACUAACUGGAGGACCGAACCGACUAAUGUUGAAAAAUUAGCGGAUGACUUGUGGCUGGGGGUGAAAGGCCAAUCAAACCGGGAGAUAGCUGGUUCUCCCCGAAAGCUAUUUAGGUAGCGCCUCGUGAAUUCAUCUCCGGGGGUAGAGCACUGUUUCGGCAAGGGGGUCAUCCCGACUUACCAACCCGAUGCAAACUGCGAAUACCGGAGAAUGUUAUCACGGGAGACACACGGCGGGUGCUAACGUCCGUCGUGAAGAGGGAAACAACCCAGACCGCCAGCUAAGGUCCCAAAGUCAUGGUUAAGUGGGAAACGAUGUGGGAAGGCCCAGACAGCCAGGAUGUUGGCUUAGAAGCAGCCAUCAUUUAAAGAAAGCGUAAUAGCUCACUGGUCGAGUCGGCCUGCGCGGAAGAUGUAACGGGGCUAAACCAUGCACCGAAGCUGCGGCAGCGACGCUUAUGUGUUGUUGGGUAGGGGAGCGUUCUGUAAGCCUGUGAAGGUGGCCUGUGAGGGUUGCUGGAGGUAUCAGAAGUGCGAAUGCUGACAUAAGUAACGAUAAAGCGGGUGAAAAGCCCGCUCGCCGGAAGACCAAGGGUUCCUGUCCAACGUUAAUCGGGGCAGGGUGAGUCGACCCCUAAGGCGAGGCCGAAAGGCGUAGUCGAUGGGAAACAGGUUAAUAUUCCUGUACUUGGUGUUACUGCGAAGGGGGGACGGAGAAGGCUAUGUUGGCCGGGCGACGGUUGUCCCGGUUUAAGCGUGUAGGCUGGUUUUCCAGGCAAAUCCGGAAAACCAAGGCUGAGGCGUGAUGACGAGGCACUACGGUGCUGAAGCGACAAAUGCCCUGCUUCCAGGAAAAGCCUCUAAGCAUCAGGUAACAUCAAAUCGUACCCCAAACCGACACAGGUGGUCAGGUAGAGAAUACCAAGGCGCUUGAGAGAACUCGGGUGAAGGAACUAGGCAAAAUGGUGCCGUAACUUCGGGAGAAGGCACGCUGAUAUGUAGGUGAAGCGACUUGCUCGUGGAGCUGAAAUCAGUCGAAGAUACCAGCUGGCUGCAACUGUUUAUUAAAAACACAGCACUGUGCAAACACGAAAGUGGACGUAUACGGUGUGACGCCUGCCCGGUGCCGGAAGGUUAAUUGAUGGGGUUAGCGGCAACGCGAAGCUCUUGAUCGAAGCCCCGGUAAACGGCGGCCGUAACUAUAACGGUCCUAAGGUAGCGAAAUUCCUUGUCGGGUAAGUUCCGACCUGCACGAAUGGCGUAAUGAUGGCCAGGCUGUCUCCACCCGAGACUCAGUGAAAUUGAACUCGCUGUGAAGAUGCAGUGUACCCGCGGCAAGACGGAAAGACCCCGUGAACCUUUACUAUAGCUUGACACUGAACAUUGAGCCUUGAUGUGUAGGAUAGGUGGGAGGCUUUGAAGUGUGGACGCCAGUCUGCAUGGAGCCGACCUUGAAAUACCACCCUUUAAUGUUUGAUGUUCUAACGUUGGCCCGUAAUCCGGGUUGCGGACAGUGUCUGGUGGGUAGUUUGACUGGGGCGGUCUCCUCCUAAAGAGUAACGGAGGAGCACGAAGGUUGGCUAAUCCUGGUCGGACAUCAGGAGGUUAGUGCAAUGGCAUAAGCCAGCUUGACUGCGAGCGUGACGGCGCGAGCAGGUGCGAAAGCAGGUCAUAGUGAUCCGGUGGUUCUGAAUGGAAGGGCCAUCGCUCAACGGAUAAAAGGUACUCCGGGGAUAACAGGCUGAUACCGCCCAAGAGUUCAUAUCGACGGCGGUGUUUGGCACCUCGAUGUCGGCUCAUCACAUCCUGGGGCUGAAGUAGGUCCCAAGGGUAUGGCUGUUCGCCAUUUAAAGUGGUACGCGAGCUGGGUUUAGAACGUCGUGAGACAGUUCGGUCCCUAUCUGCCGUGGGCGCUGGAGAACUGAGGGGGGCUGCUCCUAGUACGAGAGGACCGGAGUGGACGCAUCACUGGUGUUCGGGUUGUCAUGCCAAUGGCACUGCCCGGUAGCUAAAUGCGGAAGAGAUAAGUGCUGAAAGCAUCUAAGCACGAAACUUGCCCCGAGAUGAGUUCUCCCUGACUCCUUGAGAGUCCUGAAGGAACGUUGAAGACGACGACGUUGAUAGGCCGGGUGUGUAAGCGCAGCGAUGCGUUGAGCUAACCGGUACUAAUGAACCGUGAGGCUUAACCUUACAACGCCGAAG
rnacentral:rRNA from 1 species